rnacentral:rRNA from 1 species
GGGACACGUGGUAUCCUGUCUGAAUAUGGGGGGACCAUCCUCCAAGGCUAAAUACUCCUGACUGACCGAUAGUGAACCAGUACCGUGAGGGAAAGGCGAAAAGAACCCCGGCGAGGGGAGUGAAAAAGAACCUGAAACCGUGUACGUACAAGCAGUGGGAGCACGCUUAGGCGUGUGACUGCGUACCUUUUGUAUAAUGGGUCAGCGACUUAUAUUCUGUAGCAAGGUUAACCGAAUAGGGGAGCCGAAGGGAAACCGAGUCUUAACUGGGCGUUAAGUUGCAGGGUAUAGACCCGAAACCCGGUGAUCUAGCCAUGGGCAGGUUGAAGGUUGGGUAACACUAACUGGAGGACCGAACCGACUAAUGUUGAAAAAUUAGCGGAUGACUUGUGGCUGGGGGUGAAAGGCCAAUCAAACCGGGAGAUAGCUGGUUCUCCCCGAAAGCUAUUUAGGUAGCGCCUCGUGAAUUCAUCUCCGGGGGUAGAGCACUGUUUCGGCAAGGGGGUCAUCCCGACUUACCAACCCGAUGCAAACUGCGAAUACCGGAGAAUGUUAUCACGGGAGACACACGGCGGGUGCUAACGUCCGUCGUGAAGAGGGAAACAACCCAGACCGCCAGCUAAGGUCCCAAAGUCAUGGUUAAGUGGGAAACGAUGUGGGAAGGCCCAGACAGCCAGGAUGUUGGCUUAGAAGCAGCCAUCAUUUAAAGAAAGCGUAAUAGCUCACUGGUCGAGUCGGCCUGCGCGGAAGAUGUAACGGGGCUAAACCAUGCACCGAAGCUGCGGCAGCGACGCUUAUGCGUUGUUGGGUAGGGGAGCGUUCUGUAAGCCUGCGAAGGUGUGCUGUGAGGCAUGCUGGAGGUAUCAGAAGUGCGAAUGCUGACAUAAGUAACGAUAAAGCGGGUGAAAAGCCCGCUCGCCGGAAGACCAAGGGUUCCUGUCCAACGUUAAUCGGGGCAGGGUGAGUCGACCCCUAAGGCGAGGCCGAAAGGCGUAGUCGAUGGGAAACAGGUUAAUAUUCCUGUACUUGGUGUUACUGCGAAGGGGGGACGGAGAAGGCUAUGUUGGCCGGGCGACGGUUGUCCCGGUUUAAGCGUGUAGGCUGGUUUUCCAGGCAAAUCCGGAAAAUCAAGGCUGAGGCGUGAUGACGAGGCACUACGGUGCUGAAGCAACAAAUGCCCUGCUUCCAGGAAAAGCCUCUAAGCAUCAGGUAACAUCAAAUCGUACCCCAAACCGACACAGGUGGUCAGGUAGAGAAUACCAAGGCGCUUGAGAGAACUCGGGUGAAGGAACUAGGCAAAAUGGUGCCGUAACUUCGGGAGAAGGCACGCUGAUAUGUAGGUGAAGUCCCUCGCGGAUGGAGCUGAAAUCAGUCGAAGAUACCAGCUGGCUGCAACUGUUUAUUAAAAACACAGCACUGUGCAAACACGAAAGUGGACGUAUACGGUGUGACGCCUGCCCGGUGCCGGAAGGUUAAUUGAUGGGGUUAGCGCAAGCGAAGCUCUUGAUCGAAGCCCCGGUAAACGGCGGCCGUAACUAUAACGGUCCUAAGGUAGCGAAAUUCCUUGUCGGGUAAGUUCCGACCUGCACGAAUGGCGUAAUGAUGGCCAGGCUGUCUCCACCCGAGACUCAGUGAAAUUGAACUCGCUGUGAAGAUGCAGUGUACCCGCGGCAAGACGGAAAGACCCCGUGAACCUUUACUAUAGCUUGACACUGAACAUUGAGCCUUGAUGUGUAGGAUAGGUGGGAGGCUUUGAAGUGUGGACGCCAGUCUGCAUGGAGCCGACCUUGAAAUACCACCCUUUAAUGUUUGAUGUUCUAACGUGGACCCGUAAUCCGGGUUGCGGACAGUGUCUGGUGGGUAGUUUGACUGGGGCGGUCUCCUCCUAAAGAGUAACGGAGGAGCACGAAGGUUGGCUAAUCCUGGUCGGACAUCAGGAGGUUAGUGCAAUGGCAUAAGCCAGCUUGACUGCGAGCGUGACGGCGCGAGCAGGUGCGAAAGCAGGUCAUAGUGAUCCGGUGGUUCUGAAUGGAAGGGCCAUCGCUCAACGGAUAAAAGGUACUCCGGGGAUAACAGGCUGAUACCGCCCAAGAGUUCAUAUCGACGGCGGUGUUUGGCACCUCGAUGUCGGCUCAUCACAUCCUGGGGCUGAAGUAGGUCCCAAGGGUAUGGCUGUUCGCCAUUUAAAGUGGUACGCGAGCUGGGUUUAGAACGUCGUGAGACAGUUCGGUCCCUAUCUGCCGUGGGCGCUGGAGAACUGAGGGGGGCUGCUCCUAGUACGAGAGGACCGGAGUGGACGCAUCACUGGUGUUCGGGUUGUCAUGCCAAUGGCACUGCCCGGUAGCUAAAUGCGGAAGAGAUAAGUGCUGAAAGCAUCUAAGCACGAAACUUGCCCCGAGAUGAGUUCUCCCUGACCCUUUAAGGGUCCUGAAGGAACGUUGAAGACGACGACGUUGAUAGGCCGGGUGUGUAAGCGCAGCGAUGCGUUGAGCUAACCGGUACUAAUGAACCGUGAG